rnacentral:tRNA from 1 species
UGCAUCGGCCGGGAAUCGAACCCGGGCAGCCCGCGUGGCAGGCGAGCAUUCUACAACUGAACCACCGAUGU